AGCUCAGUUGGUAGAGCACGACCUUGCCAAGGUCGGGGUCGCGAGUUCGAAUCUCGUUUCCCGCUCCA
rnacentral:tRNA from 1 species